CCCAGUGUGACAUAGUGGUUUCAGUGUUGGACUAUGACUCUGGACUCCUGGGUUUGAUUCCCAGCUCAGCCA